AACGAACGCUGGCGGCAGGCCUAACACAUGCAAGUCGAGCGCGCCCUUCGGGGUGAGCGGCGGACGGGUGAGUAACGCGUGGGAACGUGCCCUUCUCUGCGGAAUAGCCUCGGGAAACUGAGAGUAAUACCGCAUACGCCCUUUGGGGGAAAGAUUUAUUGGAGAAGGAUCGGCCCGCGUUGGAUUAGGUAGUUGGUGGGGUAAUGGCCCACCAAGCCGACGAUCCAUAGCUGGUUUGAGAGGAUGAUCAGCCACACUGGGACUGAGACACGGCCCAGACUCCUACGGGAGGCAGCAGUGGGGAAUCUUAGACAAUGGGGGCAACCCUGAUCUAGCCAUGCCGCGUGAGUGAUGAAGGCCUUAGGGUUGUAAAGCUCUUUCAGCUGGGAAGAUAAUGACGGUACCAGCAGAAGAAGCCCCGGCUAACUCCGUG
rnacentral:rRNA from 1 species